UACGUAGGUGGCAAGCGUUGUCCGGAAUUAUUGGGCGUAAAGCGCGCGCAGGCGGUCCUUUAAGUCUGAUGUGAAAGCCCACGGCUCAACCGUGGAGGGUCAUUGGAAACUGGGGGACUUGAGUACAGAAGAGAAGAGUGGAAUUCCACGUGGUAGCGGUGAAAUGCGUAGAGAUGUGGAGGAACACCAGUGGCGAAGGCGACUCUUUGGUCUGUAACUGACGCUGAGGCGCGAAAGCGUGGGGAGCAAACAGG
rnacentral:rRNA from 1 species